GCGCCAUUUUUUUCGAAACCUCUGCGCCAUGAGAGCCAAGUGGAGGAAGAAGCGAACGCUCAGGCUGAAGCGCCAAAGAAGAAAGAUGAGGCAGAAGUCCAAGUAAACCGCUAGCUUGUUGCACCGUGGAGGCCACAGGAGCAGAAACAUGGACCUGUGACAUUCUGGACUAUUUCUGUGUUUAUUUGUGGCCGAGUGUAACAACCAUAUAAUAAAUCACCUCUUCCGCUGUUUUAGCUGGAAAAAAAAAAAAUACUCAGACACUCAGAUCUUCAAUGUCAGAAUUUUUAAAAACAUGACC
rnacentral:lncRNA from 1 species